AAAUGCGAUAAGUAAUGUGAAUUGCAGAAUUCCGUGAAUCAUCGAGUCUUUGAACGCACAUUGCGCCCCCUGGCAUUCCGGGGGGCAUGCCUGUCCGAGCGUCAUUGCUGCCCUUCAAGCCCGGCUUGUGUGUUGGGUCGUCGUCCCCUCCGGGGGACGGGCCCGAAAGGCAGCGGCGGCACCGCGUCCGGUCCUCGAGCGUAUGGGGCUUUGUCACCCGCUCGAUAAGGACCGGCCGGGCGCCAGCCGGCGUCUCCAACCUUUUUUUCUCAGGUUGACCUCGGAUCAGGUAGGGAUACCCGCUGAACUUAAGC
rnacentral:misc_RNA from 1 species